UCAAGUUUUGAAUGCGACGGAAAGCAUGUAUAAUUCAGCGUGAACCUUGCAUAUUGUACCUCCGGUGCCCUGUCCUGCGUAAGAAAGUGCUUGUUGUUUCCAAAGAAAAUCAAGUCGUGACGUAACCUCGACAAGCCUGCCAUGGUAUGUCACCAUUACAAGAAACAUGCCGAGAAAAAUGAGCAUCUGAGCUGACAGUGGAAUCGUUCGUCUAAAUUGACAGUUGAAUCAUAGCUGAUCUUCAAUAUUAUCUUGAAGAGCGGCAGAUAAAAAGCUGAGAAAGAGUUCAUCGAGAGUUUUAGAAGCAGACUUUGCCG
rnacentral:lncRNA from 1 species